CUCAGCUCCACGUGCUCCCUAUUGGUACCGUACCGUUCCUGCAACCUAUGCCCAUGAUACUGCCGUAACACCGGAAUAACACCAUCAUUAUCAUACCUUUUUCACUGCUUGAUGCAAUAUCUGUCCUGAACUUUUCCUGAAACACGAAUACAAAACACUGAAGGUUUAUUUUUACAAAAAGUUAAGUAAAAGUAUAUCAUCAUGUUCCGAAUGCAACCCCCUGGACCACCACCAGAGAAGUCACAAGAAGAGCAGGCCUUGAUGAGGAAAGCAGUCAUUGGGAAUGUCACCAUCUUUGCUGCAAUAGUGGCUGCAUUGAGAUUAACCCCCAUUGUCUUGGAUCAGAUAGGUUUCUAUGAAUCAUGAUAGCCUCUGCUCAAACUGAACAACUGAUUGGGCUGUGCUUCAGUUGAGAGGGUGAAACCUCUUCCAUUAACAGUGGAUGUAGGUGUGACGGUCUGAUUGAAGAUAUUUGCUUAUUAAUCUAAAUAUUAAAGAACAAGAAGUGGAGCUGUUGAAACAUUAUAUUGAAAGAACUGUAUGAACAGUGGGCAAAUUACAUAUGGGUACUGCAUAAAUAUUUAAAACAAUAAAGAUGGCCCUAUUACCUAGAUUGAUAUGACGGCUAUUUCCCACUUGAAAUUAAAUUCAAUCAUUUUGUAGAGCUGAUUUAAUUCUUAUAGUGGCAAGCCAGGAAAUUUAUUUUAUCACAGAGGUAUUCCAUCAUAUUAAUAUAAACAAAGCAUCUUGUGCAAAUUCAUUCCAACAUGGAAAUGAUCUGUUUUUCCUUGACUUAUCUCCAUGCAAAGCUAUGUUAAUUACAUAACAUGGCGAAGGGUUAAAAGCAGCUUGCAUUUCACAUAGUAUUGGGCAAAUUCCAAUGCACUUGUACGUGAAAUUUACCCAAUAUUGGAUAAUGACCAUGCCCAAAUUUAUUUUCCUCCAAAGUUAAUUGAAAUGAUCUGAACAUUGACUUCCCCAAAUGUGUUGUACAUAUAUGUUAAAGGUUGAAUGCAGUAUUUCAAUGUGAAUCAUAUGUCAGCAGGGAAGUGGUAGUACAUAUCUUUAAUAAUAAUAGUAAAAAUGAAGAAAGAUAUGAUUGAUUAUACCAUCCCUAUUCUGCUACAAAUCAACUUGAAAGUCUAGUCUCUAUCCAGCUGUACACUUUACAAUCGAUAUUAGAAAAUGCAGCAGUCCUGUAGGAUUAUAUGUAUUACAUAACCAUUUCCUACCACACAAACACCCUUCAAACUAUAUGUUAUAACCAAAGGCACAAAGAUGUAAUGUGCAUACAUGCAAAAACUUGUAUGCAACGGCUAAUAUAUAAAAAUGAAAACUAUUGGUUACCAGCAAUAUUAUUUAAUUUACUUUUCAGGCUAAACACUUGAUUCAAGCUUUAUGCACUUAAUAUCAGACCAUAAAUUCUAAAUGAUUUUGAGACAUUUUGAUUGUUGAUUCCUAACUUAACGGCCAGAAAAUAUGAUUAUAAUAAGCUUUUUGUAUGUCUGAAAAAGCUAUAAAAACAUGAUAACUUUCAUGAUUGUGAAAAGUGUCUUGUCCAUAUAUGAUGUGUUACUGCUUCUAUCUAUGAAGUCCACCUUGCAUAUGUUGAAUGAAUCUACAGGGAACUGCUUUAGCUUCACCUUACUACAAUUUUACCAAAAGCACUGUAGCGAAAUGAGUUCUUAAAAUGAAAAAAGCAUCUCUGCUUUUUUAAUUUGACCAAGUUCAAACUUCUGAAAGUUUAACUUUUGCGAGGUUGACUUAUUUAUUCUGUGUGAUGUAAACUAUUUUUGUUGUGAUAAUUUUGAGGUAUUUUGUCAAUGACAAAUAUUGCUCUUCUAUACCCUUUUUACACAGGAUUUUUCUUAGCCCCGGACUAUCGCUAACCCUGUACUAUCCUUAGCCCUGUCCAAUUUUUUUUUCCUUUUCACACAUGCCAAAUUGUUAUUGCUAACCCCGGAUAAGGAAUGCUUGCUUUUCACACACGAAACUCGCUAACCCCGGACUAGUGGUAGCUGAUGAAUAUUCACGAGCGUCGAUGAGGAAAGUAUUAAAACACGAAUUCCAACUCACUGACUUAUGGCGCGUGCUUUUUCUCAUCGCCGUGUUCGCUGUUCAUGAAUAUUCAUUAUGCUUACCUCUGAUUUGACAGCAGGGCCGGCUCUAUUGUGGGGUAUGAAUGGGAGCGCUUAGCCCACUUUCAUUUUACACUAGCGAUCUUAACCCGUACUAUCGCUCUUAGCACCGCAAUUGCUUGAAUAACCCUCCUUUUUUGCAUGGCCAAAUAAUCCCUUACUAAAGGUGGGGUGAGCCCACUUUGCAAAAAUGCUGUGUAAAAAGAAAGUGGGCUAAGCUUAACCACGUACUAUGGGUGGGGCUAAAUGGCAAUUUAGCCCCACCUAGAGUACGGGGUUAAGGAAAUUUUAGCGCGUGUAAAGAGGGUACUAGACAUUAUGGAAGGAUUACUAAGAAAUAUAAAAUAAAACAGGACUUUAUAAACAA